rnacentral:rRNA from 1 species
UACGAAGGGGGCUAGCGUUGCUCGGAAUCACUGGGCGUAAAGGGCGCGUAGGCGGCUCAUGAAGGCUGUGGUGAAAGUCCGGGGCUCAACCUCGGAUCGGCCGUGGCGACUCGUGGGCUGGAGCACUGUAGAGGCGGGUGGAAUUCCGGGUGUAGCGGUGGAAUGCGUAGAGAUCCGGAAGAACACCAGUGGCGAAGGCGGCCCGCUGGGCAGUGGCUGACGCUGAGGCGCGACAGCGUGGGGAGCAAACAGG